AUUUAUAAAUAGAUAAGUCGACAGCCUCACUAGAUAUCUUGGGAGAUAAUGGACGGACCGGAUCCAUAGGGAACCUUACCGGGACGUGGUCUCUCAUAUUGGACGGGGUAUGGAGACUUUAAAUAUUUUGGCGCUCAUACCAAACGGGGUAUGGGAACGGACCGCUUCACCCUAAUACCAGACGGUAUUGAGGUUUAUGG
rnacentral:lncRNA from 1 species